CGUGUUUUUGUUACAGUUUUGAGCCAAGUUGUAACACAGUGGAUUUAAAUUUCCCUUAAUUUUUUAAAAAUAUAAAUAGGACUGUAGUGCUGACACUGAUGAGUCUAACAAGGCAUCGUCCAGCUGCUAUCCACAAACCAGAUACCUUAGAAGAUGUGUUUGACGCUAUCUUUGUGGGCACUUGAAGGGAAUGGUGUAUCAAUCAGGUGAAGAUACGAGACCUAAAUCCUCUCAAGGAGCGUAUCACCAACGCGACUACGAGCUUCAACUGUGCUGAUGCAAGUUCAUCAACAGUGGAAAACACGUAUUAAUAUGUGUUUUCAAAACAAUGGUAAUCAUAUAGAGCACAUUAUAUAAAUAAAAACGGUUGUCCAACAUAAAA